ACGAACGCUGGCGGCACGCUUAACACAUGCAAGUCGAACGAGAGAAGAGGAGCUUGCUUUUCUGAUCUAGUGGCGGACGGGUGAGUAACACGUGAGCAAUCUGCCUUUCAGAGGGGGAUACCGAUUGGAAACGAUCGUUAAUACCGCAUAACAUAAUUGAACCGCAUGAUUUGAUUAUCAAAGAUUUAUCGCUGAAAGAUGAGCUCGCGUCUGAUUAGCUAGUUGGUAAGGUAACGGCUUACCAAGGCGACGAUCAGUAGCCGGACUGAGAGGUUGAUCGGCCACAUUGGGACUGAGACACGGCCCAGACUCCUACGGGAGGCAGCAGUGGGGAAUAUUGCACAAUGGAGGAAACUCUGAUGCAGCGAUGCCGCGUGAGGGAAGAAGGUUUUAGGAUUGUAAACCUCUGUCUUCAGGGACGAAAAAAGACGGUACCUGAGGAGGAAGCUCCGGCUAACUACGUGCCAGCAGCCGCGGUAAUACGUAGGGAGCGAGCGUUGUCCGGAAUUACUGGGUGUAAAGGGAGCGUAGGCGGGAUCGCAAGUCAGAUGUGAAAACUAUGGGCUUAACCCAUAAACUGCAUUUGAAACUGUGGUUCUUGAGUGAAGUAGAGGUAAGCGGAAUUCCUAGUGUAGCGGUGAAAUGCGUAGAUAUUAGGAGGAACAUCAGUGGCGAAGGCGGCUUACUGGGCUUUAACUGACGCUGAGGCUCGAAAGCGUGGGGAGCAAACAGGAUUAGAUACCCUGGUAGUCCACGCCGUAAACGAUGAUUACUAGGUGUGGGGGGGCUGACCCCUUCCGUGCCGCAGCAAACGCAAUAAGUAAUCCACCUGGGGAGUACGACCGCAAGGUUGAAACUCAAAGGAAUUGACGGGGGCCCGCACAAGCAGUGGAGUAUGUGGAUUAAUUCGAAGCAACGCGAAGAACCUUACCAGGUCUUGACAUCGUAUGCAUAGCUCAGAGAUGAGUGAAAUCUCUUCGGAGACAUAUAGACAGGUGGUGCAUGGUUGUCGUCAGCUCGUGUCGUGAGAUGUUGGGUUAAGUCCCGCAACGAGCGCAACCCUUACUGUUAGUUGCUACGCAAGAGCACUCUAGCAGGACUGCCGUUGACAAAACGGAGGAAGGUGGGGAUGACGUCAAAUCAUCAUGCCCCUUAUGACCUGGGCCUCACACGUACUACAAUGGCUGUCAACAGAGGGAUGCAAAGCCGCGAGGUGGAGCGAACCCCUAAAAGCAGUCUUAGUUCGGAUUGUAGGCUGCAACCCGCCUACAUGAAGUCGGAAUUGCUAGUAAUCGCAGAUCAGCAUGCUGCGGUGAAUACGUUCCCGGGCCUUGUACACACCGCCCGUCACGCCAUGGGAGUCGGUAACACCCGAAGCCUGUAGUCUAACCGCAAGGAGGACGCAGUCGAAGGUGGGAUUGAUGACUGGGGUG
rnacentral:rRNA from 1 species